rnacentral:lncRNA from 1 species
GUUCCCCGGCUUUGCCGCGCGGAGGAAGUCCCGGUUACGCAGAGCGCGCUGGGGCAGGGCUGACCUUCCCCUUUCUCUACUUCACUGGCCUCCUCCAGACGUGGUGGUUGCGCCCUUUCGGCCUCGCUUUCCGUUUUUUGGCUUCAUCCCCUAGAUCUGCAAACAGUUCCUCGUGUUUCUUCCGUUAGCCGGGAAACGCGAACUGCAGCGUUUGGGACCCGGGUUUGCGCGUGUGGAAAGCAAAAGGGGUUACUCUGCUGGAGUUCGACAUUGCAAAUAAAGGUCUUUAUCCCCGGCGGUUCUACAAAAUUAGUUCUGCAGGGAUUCUGGUUGAAAGAAGCGUUAAAGUGGGCCUUGUAGGAGUCAGCAAUAAUCCAAUUUUACAUGGGUGCAGGUGGCUGCCUGUGUCUAGCGCUUUCACACAUCUCAUAUCUUCAUCCACGCCGUGGGUAUUUUUUUUCCACGGUGUGUUUCUGUUGCUGCCUCCAGUAUAUUGCUUAAUCAUCCUACCUGGUAAUUAUUUAUGCAUUUUUCUCCUACUCUCGACUCAGCUCCUAGGGAAUAAAAACACAUUAACUUAUCUUUGUGCCCACAGCACCCACCAAGUAUUUCCAUCACGUAAUACUGCCUCUAGAAAGGCAGGAGGAGAAGCAGUCACGCUAAGGAUCUAGGCAAGCCAGAUCUUUUGUCCGGUUUUAGGAGGUGGCCAGCCCUUACUUAUUCCACAAGUGUUUUUCCAGAAACUCAGACUUGAUAUUGCCUCAAGUCCAAGGCAGUGUGCUUCCCCCACUCACAUAUCACUAAUAGUAGCUAACAUUUGUUCAGAUCCCUGUAUGUACUCUGCCACUGUUUUAAAUGUUACACCCGGGUUACCUCAUUUAAUCCUUACAACUGCCCUGUGAGGUAGGUACUAUUAUUAUCUCUACUUUGUAGAUGGGAUUCACCGAGGCACAGACGGUUAAAAAACCUAGCCCAAAUAACACAAAUAAACAGCAGAGCAUGCAGUGCUAGAGUCUGCAUUCUUAACAAUUGCUAUAUUCUCCCUCUCCGUGAAUGUGGGCUGAGAUGCUGAAACAGGCAUGUGCUGUGGGGGAGAAAAAGCUUUGUCCAACCAAGUGCUUUCUAAUGUCCAGAUGACAUAGAGCUAGGAUUUCCUAAUGUCUUUUUUCCCCUAUUUUUCUCUCCAUUUCAGGGUUGAGUUUGUGCAUCGAUUGUGAACACAACAGGCAGCAGGCUAUAAUGGUGGUCCUGGCUGGAGUAGUUUUCACAGACUUCAGUAAUCUGUGGAGAUGAACGGGCAGUUCUCUGUAGUUUUCACAGAUCACUGCCAGUUCGUUUUGAGGCCUUCAGGAGUGAAGACCUGGCUCAUCAUCACUCUUUGUUGUUUUGUUAAAUUUAUUUACACCCUACUUUAUUCCAGAGGAAAGGAUUUAACGUAGUUUACAUAAAUGUGUACAUCAGGGUAAAUUAAAAAUAAGUACAGAGAAAAAUAGGACAAAAGAAAACCGUGAGUGUGAAAGAUAAGAUUAAGCCAGCAGUUUUGUAUGCAAAAUGCAUGGUGUAAGGUCCUAUUGGUUUGCUGGAGGUAGGCCACACAUAUGACUCUCAGUUUUCUAGCAACCAAGAAAAAGAUCAGUUGCAAUCGGAGUAGGUGUUUUGGCUAAGCUGGAACUAGGACUUGAAUAUAGCAGCUUGUAGAGUUAUACCACUUGCCCAAAUCUCUUCCAUGAGCCUCUUUAAGUGUAACAGAAUGCCUGGGAGCACGUAAAUGCUCCUACUUAGAUGCCUACUUAGCCUCUAAUUUUCAUGGGGCCCAUGAAUCCCAUGAAAAAGAACUUUGAACCCUGUCCACAAUUAGAGUUCAGGUAUACGCAGACAUGUUUAAAGACAAGGGACACCCAAAGGAAAGAUUGCACAGAGAGAAAGUGAGCAUCCGAGAGAAAAUCACCACAAGUGAGGCAGAGGGAGGCCGGUCUCAGCAGAGUUUUGGAGGUCGUGAGAAGAAGAGGUAGGAGAUAGGAGAGUGGUUCCGAGUACUUGCCUGCUGAUGUUACCUUCUCCACCCCCACCAGGUUUUCCAGUGCCUGGAGUCUUGGGCAGGAAUGGGCCACUGUAAGAAAGAGCUUUAUCACUAGGGCCUCAGCCAACUUUUCUGUGGGAUAUCCCUCCAAAAUAAUUAAGAGUUCAGAAUGCUUCAGAUUUUGAAGUGAAACUGAUAAAGGCAAACCAGUGCUCAGAGGAACCCAACCAUCUCUGAAUUGAGACCAGAGAGCUGUCUCUAUGGAUAGUCCUUAGAGAAGGCAUUUCGGAACACAGUAAACAGCAGCCUGGUGACUCCGAUUACAGGGCCAGUUGCCUUUGUUACAAUAAAAGCAAGUCAUCUACACAGAUUUUUCCUACCAGGAAGAGCAUGUGCUGACCAACAGACAUGAAUUUCAGCCUGGUAGUUACAACAUUCACAGUAUACCCACAUCACUAAGCUGGGAGGCACAUUUUGAGACCCAGAAUCCUGACACCUCCAUGCCUUCAAAAGGAUACCGAGGUCUCCCUGUAUUGCCCAGGCUGGUCUCAAACCCCUGGCCUCCAGCGAUCCUUCCACCUCAGCCUCCCAAAGUGCUGGAAUUACAGGUUUGAGCCACUGUGCCCAGUUUCUUCUGUGCUCUUGAUGGAAAACUUAUUAUUACUGCUACUCUCCUCCUUGCCCAUCAGCCAUACUCUGGCUGCAUUAGCUUUCUUUGUAUUCCCAGCACUCCCCAGGCCUGUUGUUCCUUUUGGGUCUUUGUCUGGGGUCUUGCUCUAGCUGUAAUGUUCUUUACCCUUAGAUUCCCAUGAUUGGCUCCUUCUUGUCCCUAAGUCUCAGCUAAAGUGUUAUCCUGAAGAAAGGCCUUCACUGAUGAUCCCAUCCAAAGUAAUCACUGUAUUACACCAUUCAAUUUUAUUCUUUGCAUAGCAUUUACCCAUUGCUAAUAUUUUUCUUAUUUAUUUAUUUUUUUUAAAUAAUCUAUCUCCUGUCAACUAGAAUGUAAGCCCUGAUAGGGCAGGACUCUUUUAUUACACUGUAUUUUCAUUAUUAUAUCUACAGUGCCAAAAACUAUCCCUAACACAGGGGAGAUGCUCUAUACAUGUUUGGGGAGGAGGGAGGAAGGAAGGGAGGGAGGGAGAGAGGAAAGAAGGAAGGAAGGUGGGAAGAAAGGAAAGAAAGGAAGACAAUUGGGAAGGAUUUUUCUGAUCUGAGGCUGAUUGUUGGAGGCAUCCAACUGGUUAUUAUUUUGCUUAACAGCAAAAUAUUUUUAUCCACCUCCUUUGGAAACAAGAGAUCUUAAAGAUGUUUUGAGUUGAUUACAUAAGACUAUUUAACAGUGGUUAUGAAAACAGAUGAGUUAUCCUGAGAGGCUUUACUAGAUAUUUGUCAUCAUGAGCUCAGUCUCAUAAGUUAUUAUAAUAGAAAAUCAGGAAAAACUGCUUAUGUGUUUGAAUUCAAGUAGCUAAGUCUCAAAAUAUAAUAAAAAACAGUUGCACUACAGAUUUUCUUUCAAAAUAGCUCAAAAAUACCUUGUUGGCAGCAAAGGGAGUAAUAAUAAAAUAUCUUCCAAAAAACCUGAAAAUAGGAAAUAAAUUUGCCUUCUGAGAGUUAAACCAGUCAUACACACACACACACACACACACACACACACGUGCACACAUGCACACAUGUGCACGCAUGUGAACAUGCAUAGAAUCACACAGAGAUUAGGCUAAACCCAAUGAGGGAGUAAACUGAGAGAUAACCAGUGUGUACCUGAAGACUUUGGGAAUACCCCUAACUUCAGUGACCUGGGGGUAAUCCAGGAAGGCAAUCACCAGAAUGUGUUUGUUAAUUUAAUCCGUUGUAUGGAGAAAGUCUGGAUGAACAGAGGAUGUAGGCAGAGAGCUGUCAGCCUGUAGCCUGGAAAACCUCAACCUAAGAAGCAAGGAGUGGGUAGCACACUCCCAACUACUGUUCAAGAGAGAAGGGGCCUUGGCCUAAGGAUUUGAGCUCUCAGGUCUCUGUGGCAAAUGUAUCUUUGGAUAAGUCAUCUACCCACCUCUCCUUACUCAGAUUUCAUGCUCCACAUGGCUCCCUGUGUGCUGAAGCCUGAUUAUAGGAAGCAAAGACUCUGGUCUGCUGAUGUGAAGGCUCACCUGUUAGCUGGUUGCAUUUAUGGUUAAAAUGGAAUGAAUUUGAAUUCUGGCUAUACAGCAGUCUCUGUGAGCUUGGGUUAGUAUGAGUUUACCUGUGAGAUAAAGUUCCAGAGCAGAGUGACUUGUGACUUGUGUUGGGUCCAUACUAAGUGGCAGACAGUGGACCAGAAUUUAUACCACAAAUCCAGGUUGGCUCUGAGAAGACACUGCCACUAAGGACUGAUCUAAACUCAGUUCCCUUUCAAGUUCACCAAUUGUAUGACUCACAUGACAUUGAAUGAGGCCGGGAGUGUGAUACUAGCUGGACUCACCUUCAAGAACCCAAAAGACCCCAGUGGAUAAGAUGUGGAUACUCUAGUCCAUGGGUCAGCAAACUUUUUCUGUGAAGGGCCAGAAAACAAAUCUAUUAGGCUUGUGGACCACAUACAGCCUCUAUUACAUAUUUGUUAUCUUC